AUAUUUUAAAAAAGUUUAAUAUGGACGAAUGUCAUGCAGUCAGUACACCACUUCCAACUAAGCUAAAUUAUGAAGCUUUAGACUCAGAUGAAGAAUGUAGUGCGCCGUGCCGAAAUCUGAUUGGGUGUUUGAUGUAUCUAAUGUUAUGUACGCGUCCUGAUCUAAGUGCAGCAAUAAGCAUACUUAGUAGAUAUACAAUCAAAAACAAUUCAGAAUUAUGGCAAAGUAUAAAAAGAGUUUUGAGAUAUUUAAAGGGUACUGUGGAUCUGAAAUUUACUUUUAUUAAAAAUUAAAAUUUUAACGACACAAUUAUUGGGUAUGUUGACUCUGACUGGGCAGGAAGUGAAUCUGAUAGAACGAGUACAACAGGUUUUAUAUUUAAAAUGUUUGACUCUAAUGUGAUCUGCUGGAAUACGAGGAAGCAAAAUUCAGUGGCUGCUUCUUCGACUGAAGCGAAAUAUAUGGCUUUAUUUGAAGCAGUAAGGGAAGCUUUAUGGUUAAAAUCGUUAGUCUCUAGUAUAAAAUUAAAUAAACCCAUCAAAAUAUUAGAAGAUAACCAAGGUUGCAUAAGCAUAGCUAAUAUUCCUACAUGCCACGAACGAUCCAAACACAUUGAUAUAAGGAACCAUUUCUCAAGAGAGCAAAUUGAAAAUAAAUUAAUUAUUUUAGAAUAUAUUCCCACAGAACACAAGGUUGCUGAUGUCCUCACAAAGCCGUUGCCCGCUGCAAGAUUCUUGACACGAAGAAUCGAGAUGGGUCUUAAGAACUAAAACUAUAUACUAUAAACCAAAAGAAAAAAAAGGAAACUGUUGAAACUGAUAUUUAAUUUAGAACUUAGUUUAAAGAAAAGGAUGAACUGGUAAUUUAAUUUAACUAAAUUAAGAAUUUUAGUGUAUUUAUUCGCUAGAAGCUAAGGAACAUUUAAUUUGUCAAAUGAAAUUUAAAUUUUUUUUUAUUAACCAAUGAUUCGAUUAAGGUUUUACUGGGUUUCCCUUAAUCCUAGAACUAGUUUGAUUUGAUCUUAGCAAAACUAUUUCUAGAUGAAUAUGGAUCAUUAUUAUUGUUCCCAGAAUACACAACUGUCCAAAUAAGAAUAUUCUUGUAAUACUAAUUUAAUUUUAAAUUGUUCAACAUAUCUUUUGAGGAGGUGUGUGGAAAAAUACCAUCUUCGUGUUUUUCUAUACGCAAAAGAUUGUUCAACACCGAAGGGCUGGUCACGCUGAAAGUGGCUUGAUUCCUCUCCCUUUGACUUUGGCUUUAGAACGGACAAGUUGUGUUAUAAAAGAAGCGUCUAUUAAACAGAAAAACUUUGAACUAAAAACUAAAAUCGUGUACUAAAUCAAUUAAGGAAUCGGGAGAAGGCCUUUAUUUCCAACAGAUUCUGAUUUAACAAUUUGCCUUAGGAUCUAAGUAAGCCUAAGUCUCGGAGCUGCGCUUCCUACAGUUGGACGGCAGAGAGACGGCUAUGUAUAUCUUAUGUAUAUCAAGUGUAUUUAAUUAUACUCUCUUUAGCUGGAGAGCGAGGGUAUAUGUAUGUACUUGAGUUUGGUUGAGCGGCCGGCGUGUGUAACAGAAUGCUGACACUUACACUUUCUAUGAGCGCACCGAUCGACACAUGUUUCGGCCACUUAGGUUUUUGACCGGGCCUUUGUUUAUGUAAACACUGCAACAAAGUGUUACAGUGUGUUUGCUUCAAGUACAGAUACAAAGAGAGUAGAAUUGGGAAUAAUAUUCGUAUUUAAAGAAAAAGUAUUUCUAAGCAUGGCCAUCCUAAAUACAAUUAUGAAAUAAACGUUUUUAAUCUAUCCUUAUGAA